GACGAACGCUGGCGGCGUGCUUAACACAUGCAAGUCGAACGGAAAGGCCCUGCUUUUGUGGGGUGCUCGAGUGGCGAACGGGUGAGUAACACGUGAGUAACCUGUCCUUGACUUUGGGAUAACUUCAGGAAACUGGGGCUAAUACCGGAUAGGAGCUCCUGCUGCAUGGUGGGGGUUGGAAAGUUUCGGCGGUUGGGGAUGGACUCGCGGCUUAUCAGCUUGUUGGUGGGGUAGUGGCUUACCAAGGCUUUGACGGGUAGCCGGCCUGAGAGGGUGACCGGCCACAUUGGGACUGAGAUACGGCCCAGACUCCUACGGGAGGCAGCAGUGGGGAAUAUUGCACAAUGGGCGGAAGCCUGAUGCAGCAACGCCGCGUGCGGGAUGACGGCCUUCGGGUUGUAAACCGCUUUCGCAUGUGACGAAGCGUGAGUGACGGUAAUGGGUAAAGAAGCACCGGCUAACUACGUG
rnacentral:rRNA from 1 species